rnacentral:rRNA from 1 species
UACGUAAGGUGCGAGCGUUAUCCGGAAUUACUGGGCGUAAAGGGUGCGUAGGCGGUUAUGCAAGUUGGAGGUGAAAGCCUAUAGCUCAACCGUAGUAAGCCUUUGAAACUGGUCGUCUUGAGGUAUGGAGAGGAAAGUGGAAUUCCUAGUGUAGCGGUGAAAUGCGCAGAUAUUGGGAGGAAUACCGGUGGCGAAGGCGACUUUCUGGCCAUAAACUGACGCUGAGGUACGAAAGCGUGGGUAGCAAACAGG